GAUGAACGCUGGCGGCGUGCUUAAUACAUGCAAGUCGAGCGAAGCGCUUUAACGGAAUUCUUCGGAAGGAAGAUAAAGUGACUGAGCGGCGGACGGGUGAGUAACGCGUGGGUAACCUGCCUCAUACAGGGGGAUAACAGUUAGAAAUGGCUGCUAAUACCGCAUAAGCGCACAGGACCGCAUGGUCUGGUGUGAAAAACUCCGGUGGUAUGGGAUGGACCCGCGUUGGAUUAGGUAGUUGGUGGGGUAACGGCCUACCAAGCCGACGAUCCAUAGCCGGCCUGAGAGGGUGGACGGCCACAUUGGGACUGAGACACGGCCCAGACUCCUACGGGAGGCAGCAGUAGGGAAUAUUGCACAAUGGGGGAAACCCUGACGCAGCGACGCCGCGUGAAGGAAGAAGUAUCUCGGUAUGUAAACUUCUAUCAGCAGGGAAGACAAUGACGGUAC
rnacentral:rRNA from 1 species